rnacentral:rRNA from 1 species
UACGUAGGGUGCGAGCGUUGUCCGGAAUUAUUGGGCGUAAAGAGCUCGUAGGCGGUGUGUCGCGUCGGCCGUGAAAACUUGGGGCUUAACUCUGAGCGUGCGGUCGAUACGGGCAUCACUUGAGUUCGGCAGGGGAGACUGGAAUUCCUGGUGUAGCGGUGAAAUGCGCAGAUAUCAGGAGGAACACCGGUGGCGAAGGCGGGUCUCUGGGCCGAUACUGACGCUGAGGCGCGAAAGCCAGGGGAGCGAACGGG